UACGUAGGGUGCAAGCGUUAAUCGGAAUUACUGGGCGUAAAGGGCGCGCAGGCGGCUGCUCAAGUCAGGCGUGAAAAGGCCUGGGCUCAACCCGGGAAUUGCGCUUGAGACUGGGCUGGCUUGAGUGCGGGAGAGGAUGGUGGAAUUCCCAGUGUAGAGGUGAAAUUCAUAGAUAUUAAGGGAAGAACACCGGUGGCGAAGGCG
rnacentral:rRNA from 1 species